UUGUUGGGAGUUUUUUGUAUGUUUGUUUUAAAAUACAUCUUAAGCCACAUCGUUAUAACAUUAAAACCAACGUAAGACUCCUGACAGAAUAAGUAAAGUGCAAGAAAUAUUCGGCAGUCAACAGAGAUUUAACUACUAUGUUGAAGACUGCCCACCAUGCAGACAAGUUCACCACACUAUAAAUUAACACCUAAGAGAAUCUUACGAGUAUUAGAUGGUUCCUGUGACUUAAGAUCGGAGCAGAUGAAAGGGGUCUUUGGAGGAUGCUAUUUUUUUCACCCCCUUCCCUCUUAAUUCAUUUGUUAUAUAUGAAAAUCAUUAAGUAGCAAUAGGACUUUUGAAACUAAUAAAAUUUCUUCCUCCCUCUCCCUUUACCUUGUCUCUCUCUCAAGCUGCUUCUAAAAGAGUGGGUCUAAAAUAAACUCAAAAUAGUGAAAAGAUAAUAAAGGUUCAAAAUAUAAUUUUUUUAAAAGGGACAGAGGAUGGA
rnacentral:lncRNA from 1 species